rnacentral:rRNA from 1 species
CAGCAGCCACGGUAAUACAAAGGUAGCUAGCGUUGUUCGGAAUUACUGGGCGUAAAGGGCGCAUAGGCGGCUAUGUAAGUCAGAUGUGAAAGCCCCGGGCUCAACCUGGGAACUGCAUUUGAUACUGCAAAGCUAGAGAUCGAGAGAGGAAAGUGGAAUUACGAGUGUAGAAGUGAAAUUCGUAGAUAUUCGUAGGAACACCAGUGGCGAAGGCGGUUUUCUGGGACAACACUGACGCUGAAGCACGAAAGCGUGGGGAGCAAACAGGAUUAGAUACCCGCGUAGUCCCUGUCUCUUAUAC